UGAACAGGAUUACUUGAAAGAUGGCAGA
rnacentral:piRNA from 1 species